AACGCAACUUGCACUCGCCUCUGGCGAGUAUGCUUGUUUGAGAAUCUUUUGUUUUUUCUCUGCGGAGAGAGGUGGCUGGUGCUCGACGAGCUCGGCUGAAAAGCAAGGAGCCCGCUGCUGGGGCCGUCCUCGGGAAGGAGAGAUGAAGGCGGAAGCCGCUUCCUCUGGAGCGAGGUGGGCGAGGCGCGGGGUGAACGAACCAGAUCUCAAAUCAAGCAGGAGGACCCGCUGAACUUAA
rnacentral:misc_RNA from 1 species